rnacentral:rRNA from 1 species
AUUGAACGCUGGCGGCAGGCCUAACACAUGCAAGUCGAGCGGAUGAAGGGAGCUUGCUCCUGGAUUCAGCGGCGGACGGGUGAGUAAUGCCUAGGAAUCUGCCUGGUAGUGGGGGAUAACGUCCGGAAACGGGCGCUAAUACCGCAUACGUCCUGAGGGAGAAAGUGGGGGAUCUUCGGACCUCACGCUAUCAGAUGAGCCUAGGUCGGAUUAGCUAGUUGGUGGGGUAAAGGCCUACCAAGGCGACGAUCCGUAACUGGUCUGAGAGGAUGAUCAGUCAACAUGGAAAAUGAGACGAGGCCAGGACUCAUAGGGGAGGAAGAAGGGGGAAAUAUUGGAAAAGGGGCAAAAGCCUAAUCAAGCCAUGCGGGGUGUGGGAAGAGGGUCUUGGAAUGGAAAACCAUUUAAAGUGGGGAGAAAGGGAAGAAAUUUAAUACCUGGUUGUUUUAACGUAACAAAAAAAAUAAACACCGGAAAACUUCGUG